UACGAAGGGGGCUAGCGUUGCUCGGAAUUACUGGGCGUAAAGCGCGCGUAGGCGGUUACUCAAGUCGGAUGUGAAAGCCCUCGGCUUAACUGAGGAAGUGCACCCGAAACUGAGUAGCUAGAGUACUAAAGAGGGUCGCGGAAUUCCCGGUGUAGAGGUGAAAUUCGUAGAUAUCGGGAGGAACACCGGUGGCGAAGGCGGCGACCUGGGUAGAUACUGACGCUGAGGCGCGAAAGCGUGGGGAGCAAACAGG
rnacentral:rRNA from 1 species